rnacentral:rRNA from 1 species
AUCAUGGCUCAGAAUGAACGCUGGCGGCGUGCUUAACACAUGCAAGUCGCACGAGAACGCUUCUGCUUGCAGAAGCUAGUAAAGUGGCGCACGGGUGAGUAACGCGUGGGUAAUCUACCUUCGAAUCGGGGAUAACAUUGCGAAAGCGAUGCUAAUACCGGAUGACAUCUAAUGGACUUUGGUUCAUAAGAUCAAAGGUGGCCUCUAUAUAUAANCUUCCGUUUGAAGAUGAGCCCNCGUCCCAUUAGCUUGUUGGUAGGGUAACGGCCUACCAAGGCAACGAUGGGUAGCUGGUCUGAGAGGAUGAUCAGCCACACUGGAACUGACACACGGUCCANACUCCUACGGGAGGCAGCAGUGANNAAUUUUGCGCAAUGGGGGAAACCCUGACGCAGCANCGCCGCGUGAGUGAUGAAGG